GGUGAGAACCAUUUCGACGGUCUUCGUUCUGGCCUCUGAACUGGAAAUUGCCAAUGCGCUGAGGAGGAUCACAAAUACAACCACAUAACCAGGCAGAGAGGUUCCUGAAUUGAAAGGUGCGAAUCAAUCGUCCACUACGAUGGAAUUACUUCAAUCUCAUGCACACAACUGUUGUGAAAUCGACGAAAUUACGAGGUUUGAGAGGUUGAAUCCCUUGGCCGGCGGAUGAUAUUUUUGUUCCUCCUCAGCAGAAUUUCCCCCGGGUUUUGCCUUCGAAAUCAAAAAAGUGGAAUUCUUUUCCCCCCGUUGUAUUUCCAAGAUAUCUUUUCUUGAUAUCCGAAAGGGAGGGAAAAAAAUGUUGCGUUAAACACAGACGUCCCGGGAACUAUGAGGAAAACCCUUUUUCCUUUUUCCUUCUUUAUUUUUAUUUAUUUUUUUAUUUUUUUUAUUUUUUA